rnacentral:rRNA from 1 species
CCUACGGGUGGCAGCAGUGGGGAAUAUUGGUCAAUGGACGAGAGCCUGAUCCAGCCAAGCCGCGUGAAGGAUGACUGCUCUCUGGGUUGUAAACUUCUUUUAUAAAGGAAUAAAACGAUGCGCGUGUGCCUUUUUGCGUGUACGUUAUGAAUAAGCAUCGGCUAACUCUGUGCCAGCACGCGCGGUAAUACGGAGGAGCCGAGCGUUAUGCGGAUUUAUGGGGUUUAAAGGGAGCGUAGAUGGGUUGUUAAGUCAGUUGUGAAAGUUUGCGGCUCAACCGUAAAAUUGCAAUUGAUACUGGCAGUUUUGAGUACAGUUGAGGUAAGCGGAAUUCGUGGUGUAGCGGUGAAAUGCUUAGAUAUCACGAAGAACCCCGAUUGCGAAGGCAGCUUACUAAACUGUGACUGACAUUGAUGCUCGAAAGUGUGGGUAUCAAACAGGAUUAGAUACCCUGGUAGUC